rnacentral:rRNA from 1 species
UACGGGGGGGGCAAGCGUUGUUCGGAAUUACUGGGCGUAAAGGGCGUGUAGGUGGCCAACUAAGUCCGACGUGAAAUCCCCAGGCUUAACCUGGGAACUGCGUCGGAUACUGGAUGGCUUGAAUUCGGGAGAGGAAUGCAGAAUUCCAGGUGUAGCGGUGAAAUGCGUAGAUAUCAAGAGGAACACCUGAGGUGAAGACGGGUUGCUGGGCCGACACUGACGCUGAGUGCGCGAAAGCCAGGGGAGCAAACGGG